rnacentral:rRNA from 1 species
UACGUAGGGCGCAAGCGUUGUCCGGAAUUAUUGGGCGUAAAGAGCUCGUAGGCGGCCUGUUGCGUCCGCUGUGAAAUCCCGGGGCUCAACCCCGGGCCUGCAGUGGAUACGGGCUGGCUAGAGGCAGGCAGGGGAGAACGGAAUUCCUGGUGUAGCGGUGAAAUGCGCAGAUAUUCGCAAGAACACCAGUGGCGAAGGCGGCUCACUGGCCCGAUACUGACGCUGAGGCACGAAAGCGUGGGGAGCAAACAGG